UUCGAUGCAACGCGAAGAACCUUACCUGGUCUUGACAUCCCGGAGACCCUUAGGAAACUAAGGGGGUGGCUUCCCAUCUGGAAGAAUCUGGAGACAGGUGCUGCAUGGCUGUCGUCAGCUCGUGUCGUGAGAUGUUGGGUUAAGUCCCGCAACGAGCGCAACCCUUGCCUUUAGUUGCCAGCAGUUCGGCUGGGCACUCUAAAGGGACUGCCGGUGUUAAACCGGAGGAAGGUGGGGAUGACGUCAAGUCCUCAUGGCCUUUAUGACCAGGGCUACACACGUACUACAAUGGCCGAUACAAAGGGCAGCGACACUGCGAGGUGAAGCCAAUCCCGUAAAAUCGGUCUCAGUCCGGAUUGGAGUCUGCAACUCGACUCCAUGAAGUUGGAAUCGCUAGUAAUCGUGGAUCAGCAUGCCACGGUGAAUACGUUCCCGGGCCUU
rnacentral:rRNA from 1 species